AAAGAAACCAACAGGGAUUACCUCAGUAACGGCGAGUGAAGCGGUAACAGCUCAAAUUUGAAAUCUGGCUCUUUCAGGGUCCGAGUUGUAAUUUGUAGAAGCUGCUUUGGGUGCGGUCCGGGUCUAAGUUCCUUGGAACAGGACGUCAUAGAGGGUGAGAAUCCCGUAUGCGACUCGGUGCCUAUCCUGUGUAAAGCGCUUUCGACGAGUCGAGUUGUUUGGGAAUGCAGCUCAAAAUGGGUGGUAAAUUUCAUCUAAAGCUAAAUAUUGGCCAGAGACCGAUAGCGCACAAGUAGAGUGAUCGAAAGAUGAAAAGCACUUUGGAAAGAGAGUUAAACAGUACGUGAAAUUGUUGAAAGGGAAGCGCUUGCAACCAGACUUUGCGCCCUAUCGAUCAUCCGAGGUUCUCCCCGGUGCACUCGGUAGGGCUCAGGCCAGUAUCGGUUUCGGUGGUGGGAUAAAGGCCUAGGGAAUGUGGCUUCUCUCGGGAAGUGUUAUAGCCCUAGGUGCAAUGCCGCCUACUGGGACCGAGGACCGCGCUUCGGCUAGGAUACUGGCGUAAUGGUUGUAAGCGACCCGUCUUGAAACACGGACCAAGGAGUCUAACAUCUAUGCGAGUAUUUGGGUGUCAAACCCAUAUGCGUAAUGAAAGUGAACGGAGGUGAGAACCCUUUAGGGUGCAUCAUCGACCGAUCCUGAUGUCUUCGGAUGGAUUUGAGUAAGAGCAUAGCUGUUGGGACCCGAAAGAUGGUGAACUAUGCCUGAAUAGGGUGAAGCCAGAGGAAACUCUGGUGGAGGCUCGCAGCGGUUCUGACGUGCAAAUCGAUCGUCAAAUUUGGGUAUAGGGGCGAAAGACUAAUCGAACCAUCCGUACGGYACAUAUAUCUGCUAGGUGGSUUAAGAGGUGGCCGAAAGUGCCUAUUUAGUUCCUAGAUCUUGGAACGACACUGUCAAAUUGUUUCGGGGACGUCCUGUUGACUUCCAAGCUACUGCAGYCUUAUCGAAAGAUAUAGGUGCGCACCAGGGUAAKGACCUCGGGUAUAGKAAUAACGCUUGGUAUAGGGAWAAUUCCGCANNCAAGUCCUAAGGGUAUCUAUUGCCUAUGGAUACYGUUYCCGAACUAMA
rnacentral:rRNA from 1 species